AGAUGGGCAAACCGAAAAUGUUACAAAGCGAUUAUCUGCAUUGUCGGCCUCGUUUUUGGAUUUGAAAGAAGACAAGAUCGGGCCAUUUUAGCAAUGAGAACCAAAGCUUCCUCCACUGCUUCAUUUUCAGGAUGUGGAAGCCGUGGAUCCAACAACUCCUGGAGUUCGAUGGUUGCAGGGGAAGGAGAUGUGAGAAGAUCGAUGUAGUCACCAGGAUGUUUUCCCUUAAUGAUUUCUAAUGUUAAUACUCCGAAACUAUAUACAUCGCAUUUUUCAGUCACCUUCAUAGUGAAAGCAAAUUCUGCAAGAUUACAUACAAUUCUUAACAAUCAGAUCAUGUAUGUCAAUCACUCCAAUCAGACCAGUCCAUUCGAUUUCGGACUAGGCCUAUGAGACUGUCAAAUUAAUUAGUUUUUUUUUUGUCAGAUUUAAAA